ensembl:lncRNA
CCGCUGCCACGGCCCUGGCGGCUGAUGUGCUACGGGAGUUCCGGGUCGGCGUGAGUGACUGCGUCCUGAGGCGGCUUUUCAGCCUAGGGAAGGCGAGGAGGCGAUCCGAAGGAGCAGCGCCUCUCGCUCCCGCUUCUCCUUUCCUCAGCAGGCAGAGAAGGGAGGGGGGUCGUUGUCUGUAGCGUGUCGUACUGCAGUGCGCGCUCUCCGCCUCGCCCCCCCUUAUCACCGGGCAGGCUGGCUUACUCAGUGCUGUGGUGGGUCUGAGACCGCCUGCUUUGUGCUUCGUUCCCGGGUUUGGCUAGGGCUUGUUUUUAUUGCUCGGCCUUCCCCAGGGAGCGGCCGUGCGAGAGCUCCGGGAGACCGUGGCCGCCGCUGGAGAACGGCAGCGCGUCUCGCCUGCAUCAGCCGCUGGCAGCCGCCGUGCUCGGUCGUGUGCCCAGCUCCCAAAGCCUGCACAUGGCACAAGAGCCUUUCGGAAGAUUUGCUGGAUGGGUGACAGGCAAGGUUUAUUGAGUAAAACUCGUUUGUAGGCAUUGGCAUCUUCGCUAAACACGACCAGACUUCUGUAAUAUCAAAAUUUAAAUACAAGUAGCCGGCAUAAUCCCCAAGGAUAAAAUACAAGUGAAAAAGAAAUUACUGUACCAUCAGAUAUAUUGCGGUUUAUACACGAACAGUCAUGAAAAUUGAUGAGAUUCUGCUGUGAGAUAGACUUGGGAUCACACGGGUAGUAAUUUGCUUUCCAACACCUCUAGUUAAAUGCAGGGUGUCUUAAGAGUGUAGAGAUAAUUAGAGGAGAUGGCAUUUUGUAUGUUGGAAAUCACAUGGAAAUGAAAAAGCACUGUUAAAAUGACAAGCAUGGUGGUAAGACCCAAAAACAUGCACCAGAUGGAGUUCAAAUGUCUUACUAAAAUAAGCUCGAGUGGAUGUGCACAAAGUAAAGAAAAAGGGAUAUGCAAAUGAUUUAAAUCUAAUAAAGCAGAUGUAUAAUAUAUUUCUUGUGUUUCAUUAGUAUUUCAUAAUUAUCUGUGUGAGAAAAUCUACACUCUCUCAGUCUUUUUUCCUCAUCUGAUCAUAGAGUAUAGCCUCACCAUCCUUAUUUUUAACAUCACAUUAAUUUCUGUAGUAAUAGAGGAUGAUCUCACUGGAGGAAGGUGAAGUAAAAAGUUUCUCAUAGACCAUCUAUAGAAAAGACCAAAAAAAGUAUUGGCUUAAAACCUUUGUUUUUAUUUGACAUUUAUUCUUGCAGAAAGACUCACCUGCUGAUUUUCUGGGCUUUGUGGAGAAUCAUCAUUAAAAACAUCUUGGGCUGUUUUGGUUUGCCCUAGCUGGUGGGAGGAGUCUUUUAUUCAUUCUUGAGUAGAGGGUUUGUGUAGAGCUUUCUGAAAUGUGGCAUGUCCCAGGUCUUUUUGGGAUCUCUAUUAAUGUAUUGCUGUUAAAGAGAAAUUUUUUUUGAUCAUUUGUACAUUCUUCUACAACUAAGUGUUGAUUUUUUUCAUGCUGCUAGUCUUUUGAUAUCACAGACUGUACAUUUUUCUUUAAUGAUGCAGUAAAAUGCAUAUCUCCUUGAGAGCAGGCAUGCAUUUUUGUCACUUGAAAGAGCAAUUGUUUACUUGACUGAAAAGCAGUGUACAGUGCAGUUAAAACAGGCAGUGGUACAGGAUGGCACAGUAGCAAUUCUGAGUUCAGCAUUUUUAAUUAAUUGCUAAACGUGUUAUAUACAGUUUCAUUAUAAAUCUUCAAUUAGAAGCCAGAAAGUGAAAGUUAUGUUUGAACUUUUGCUAUGUAAUGGCUCAGUUACAAAAUAAUCAAUUAGUUAUGAAUAUGCCUUGAUUAAAUUGUUACUGAAGCUAGUAUAAAGCUUGCUCUAUUAAUAGUGAAUUUCAGCUAAAAAUAAGUAAAGGAAUAAAUUAAGUAUCACUGGAUCUGCUUUGAAUAUUUUUUCUCUUCACUGUUGUUGUUUAUACAGUAGGUUAAUAUAGAUCCCUUAUCAUAUGUAAUUGAACUUGCUGAUUUACUGUCUCCCAUUUCUCUGGAAAUCUGUCUCUAAAACUCUAUAGCACAAUUAAGGUGUUCCAUGGGUGGACUCUUACUUUGUCCUUUUCAGAGUGAUUAGCACCUAAAAAAUUAUUUCUAGGAUGAAUCUGUAAAUCAAUUAAAUGGAAUACUUUGAACUAUGUCAACUUUCUAUAAUAAUAUGUGUGCAGUUUUAAAAGAUUUUGUCACUGUAACAACUUCUGCGAGAGAAAAAACAUAUUUACCUCUGCAAUGUUUUCUAUUUGUACAGUUCUGAAUAUCUGUUUUGUUGGUCCCACACUUUAGCAUUUCUAAUUUUCCCUUUAAUCUUUUGUUUCAUGAUUAUUGCACUUUCUGAUUAAAAAUGUAAUAGUGUUGGCACACAUAUAGGAUCAUAGCAUGACUUAAUGCCUGAUGUCAAUCUGUAUUUUCCUUUCUGUGUCCUCCCUAUUCUUCUCUCGCUCACUCAUCCCUUUGUGGAAAGAAUAACUUCCAGGUAUUAAUUUAACUGGCAGAUUGGUUAACUGAAGAAGACUCAUUUAUUUAAUGGCAUUUAAAGAAAUUCUAACAACCUCAUCAAAUUGUUUCUGUCAUUUCCAUUUUGUGUCCUUCCUUUCCAGUAGUUUCUGUCUCCUCAGUUCAGAUACCAUCACUCAGCUAUUCAUUUGACACAAUUGAACAAACUUUAUUUUUUUCUUUUUCCUCCCCAGGUGUAGUAGAUCCUCUUUUGGAGAUUCUCUGUUUUGUUAGCAAUUGCUUGUUCACCCUUCCCCACAAAAAGGGUGUUAUAAUGUCGGAUAUGGAGUUGUGUUUGUUAAAAGGUGAUAAUGGUUCUAUUUACCAGAAAGGCCUGUAGGAGGGCACAGUAGCAGGCUGGGUGGUUAGAAGUCAAUUGUGGGGGGACAGACACAUGGACAGGUGGGUGGUGAGAUGCAUGGGCAGCAGCAUUGCAGUUGAGCAGCCAAUAGAUGCCCUUCUUCUGUUAAGUUUUGGUUAUGUCCAGUGGAAGCUAAAGGUAUAUAAGGGAGGUGUUUUCUACAAUCAAGUGAUUUCCUUUGUAUGCACAAGGGGGUCUGUGUGUCUUUGUUUCCCAUUGCUACGUUAUAAUACUCCCCUGUGACAGGUGGAAAAUCAACUUUUUGUGUCUACACUGGAAAUUAAGUGUAAACUGCUUUUGUAAUGUAGGGAGCAAGUCUUGCUUUUUUAUUUGUGUUGCUUUUCAAAACAAUUAUUGGAUGUGUGUACAGGAGGUUCUGCCAAGCCCUUUCAGUCUUGCCCUCCAUCACCUUUUGUUAAGAGUUUAAUUUCUACUAAAGAUACAUUUCUGUCAUCAUAUACAGCCACAAACACAUAUUAAAUCAGUGUUUUCAAUCCCAGCAUUGAUAUGGUUUUUAAAAUUUCAAGAGGAAAAGAAGCACGAACGAUGCCUUUUUUUAUGUGACCUUUUGUAUGUGAUCUUCUCUCCACCAAAUUUUUAACUAAGAGAUUAUUAGAAUAUCUCUACAAAAUCUUUUGAAUCUUCCAUAGAAUUUAUUGGAAUGUAGAGGGACUAUUGUCAGACUUUACAGUUUUUGCAUACAUAUAACAUUCACUAAGUUGUGGAAAAAA